GGUUUCCAAAGGUAUAUGCUUUCACUAAGGAAUGCAGCAGGAAUCUCACUAAAUUAUAAGUCAUGAUUACUGCUUGUGAAUUUGGGGGAUCUUUGCGGCAAGGGGACAACAGACAACAAGAGGAAUCACCAUCCUAGAAUAGCAGCUGACCCUGAAGAUCAGAAGCUAGGGCUGUCAAGACACAAUGAUGAAUAUGUCUGACAAGCAGGAGACCCACUUGAAUGCUUCUCGGUGUUCCCUUGUCCAGUUUUGUUGGUAAGUGGACAGACCAGCAGCCCCAAGCUGAGAAGAAAGAACACAAUACACAGAGCUCAAACCCUCGAGGAGUGAAUCUGUGUCAUGUCACCAAGUAAGCUAUGAAAGACAGCAGUCUAUAAGGAAUCUAGGUUUAAGAAGAUCUGUGAAUUGCCAGGAGACCAACUUCAGUGUUGGACCCUAAAGUUUGUUCUUCAAAUCUUCCUUUUAUAAGUCCCCCUUAGAAACAGAGUCUCACCAGCAUCCUGAAAGAGCUGCUUCCAGAACUUACAUGAAGAAGUGAAUACAAACAAUAUGAGUGCUAUACUGUAGUGGAUUAUAUAAUAUGCCACUUACCUCUCCCUUCUUUUUCCAGGUGCUGAAGUAUUUAUCUCAGGCCACUCUUAGCUGCCAGUCCUCCUUAUGAAUUACCUAAAGCUAAGAUAAUUUUUUCAUCCAAGGUCACACUCCCUUGCUGGGGAAGCCCACAUUCAAUUACUGGUCAGUGUGGGAGUAUAAAAGCUGGUUCUUUCCCUUCAAUUUGGUACAAUGUGAGGGGCCAUCUUUGCUUCAGCUCCUCAUAUAAGUUGGCUGAGACUUUCAUGGAGGUGAUGUUGUAGCCCAGUUGCUUUGUGUCCAAUCCUGCUGCUCUUUUUCUAUCUACAGGUGUUCAUCUUAAGAACACUCCCUAAAACUUCAUGCUCACUAAUCCCCUUCUCAGAGUCUGCUUGCCAAAGUACCUGACCAGCAACAUUCUUAGCACAAUGACUUGUACAGAGUAUGGUUAUUAAAAAGAACUAUUAAACUUUUAAUAAAAAACUUGGGGGAAAUUAUAUGUAUAUAUGUAUGUGUUUAUGUGUGUUAUAAAUACAUGUAUGUAUGUAUUUAUGUGUGUGUGCACUCUCUCUCUCUGUCUCACACACACACACACACACACACACACACACACACACACCUGGCUUUGCAUCAUGUAAAAAAACAAACUCAAUUUUAGGCAGAACAUAGCUAUUCUAAUACGUGUAAAAUAUUUGCAUGUGAUUUUGGAAGUUUAGUUCCCAGGUCAAUUUAUAUAAUUUUUAUGUUAGGGCCUAACUCGAAUUAAAAAAUUUGUAGAAUAAAUUAUAUUGCAUUUCCCAGAAGCUUGAAAAUACAAUGUUUUAAAACACAGCCCUUACCCUUUUAGAAGAAUCUCAGAGUUUGGUAAAAACUUCAGAUUUAAUGACCAUGUGGAAAUAGAGUGGCAGGAUUUUUAUUCUAUCAUCAUAUUGGAGAAUUCCUCAUCAGAGUGAUUGGUGGUACACCUUGACAGAGUGAGUUUUCUUUUUUUUCUUUCUUUCUCUUUCUUUCUUUCCUUUCUUUCUCUCUCCUUCCUUCCCUCCCUCCCUCCUUCCCUCUCUCUCUCCCUCCCUCCCUCCUUUCUUUCUUUCUCUUUCUUUCUUUCUUUCUUUCUUUCUUUUCUUUCUUUCUCUUUCUUUCUUUCUUUCUUUCUUUCUUUCUUUCUUUCUUUCUUUCUUUCUUUCUUUCUUUCUUUCCUUCCUUCCUUCUUUUUUUCUUUCUUUCUUUCAAGACAGAAUCUCACUCUGUUGUCCAGUCUGGAGUGUGGUGGUGCUAUCUCGACUCACUGCAACCUCUGCCUCUUCGGUUCAAGCAAUUCUUCCUCCUCAGCCUCCCGAGUAGCUGGGAUUAUAGGCCUGUGUAUAGGCAUAUAACCAUGCCUGGCUAAUUUUUGUGUUUUUAGUAGAGACGGGGUUUUACCAUGUUGGACAGGCUGAUCUCGAACUCCCAACCACAAAUGACCCUCCUGCCUUGGCCUCCCAAAAUGCUUUACAGGUGUGAGCCACCACACCUGGCCAAGAGUGAAUAUUUUUAAAAAUGAAAAUUAUGUCACUCUUCUGAACCCACACUUCCCAUGGCUCCCCAUCACACCUGGAAUAAAAUCAAAGCUCCUAUUCCAAGGCCACAUACAACCUGACACUUGCUUCCGCUGAAGGUCCACAUGUUUCUUCUUUUGCCUUGACUUAGUGCGUUCAGCCUCUCUGGCCCUCUCCCAUUUGCAGGGAUUCACCAUGCUCAUUCUUUUUUUGAUGUUGUGCUUGGUCUUCCCCCUUCUUGGAGUAGGUCCUGCAAGAUACUCCCAUUGUUCUCUGACCUCAUAAAGUUGCUGGCUCAGGCAGAGCUGUGAGGACAGCUAUGCAUGAAAGGACAGCUCUGCCUGAAACAGCCCCCCACCUCCGCUAACUCAGGAGCUCCUGGAACUGCUUUAUCAUGCUGCAGUGCACUUACCACCAUCUGGAAUUACAUUGCACAUGCACUUAUCUAUGUAGUUACUUAUUUUCUCUUUCUUCCACUAGAAUGUAAGCUCUUUGAGGACAGGGAUUGUUUUCUGUUUUAUGAGGACAGGAAUUAUUUUCUGCUUUUUUUUUUUCUUCCUCCUCAGAUCUAGAGGAAUACCUGAUACAAUAUAGGCACCCCUAAUAAAUAUUCAGUGAAUGGAUUGCAUUGAUUUUCCUGUUGAGUUUGUUGCAUAUGAAUGGAGAGUUCAAGAGUUUAACAAUUCUUUUUCUGAUUUGGUGAGCUCCACUUUUAUCAAAUGGCAUGAAAACCUGAGAUUAGUGGGAUUGAAAAUUUAGAAAAUAUCUCUUGGGAAUUGAUGUAGUAUCUAGUAUCUCCUCUUGGGUUAAGAAAGGUGGUCCCAGAGAAAAGGUUCUGGUAGAGAAACAAGAGGUUUCAUAAAAGGAGUAGCGUUUUAUUUACUAUGAAAUCAAAUCUAUGUCACUACUGUUUUUAUUCCAGGCAUGUAGAAAACAAACAAGCAAAACACCUAAAAUAAUUCUACAAAAAGACCCUCAAAGGGCGUUUUAUUAGAUUAAAUAAGUAUUCAUACAUGUGUAUGCAUAAUCUCUCUCUAUAUAUAGAUACACAUGUACCUCUCUCUCUAUAUAUAUAUUCUUGAAUAUAAUUAAAGACAUGUUAUCACAGUUCUUCGUUCCCACAGUGGGAUAAAAUACAUUUGUUUGGUCCAAGUCUAGUCCCUGCCAUUUCCCCAUUGCUUGAGCAAAUUAUUUAAUUUCAGAGAGACUGAGUUGGCUCAUCUUUGAAAUAGUGAUCAAGCCUAAUUCACUGGAGUAGUGCAAAGACUAAAUGUUGUAGUCAAUGUUAAGUGCCUGGUACCAUGCCUUGGAUUGAAUGCUUACAAUGUAUGCAUUCCAUAAAAGAUAAUUCUUCAUUUUUCCUGAGGAACCUUCUGAGUUUAAGUUACUCUUUAUUUAAAUCCUCCUCAGCUUUAUAAAACACAUCAUCAUUGAAUUUGAAUCUUCCAGAGUCGUGUUUCUAACUCACAUUUUUCUCAUAAGCAGUACAAAUUUACCUGAGAUGUGACGGAUACAUAAAUUUGUUAAAUUAGCCCUUCCAAAUGAAAUAAAUAAAUGAAAGGAAAGGGAAUAAACUAUCAAAAUCCUCAUGCGUCUAUUUGUGGCUGAAGUGUUUUAUUAGAUUUUAUAACAAAGUUUAAAAACAAUAUCAAGUAGGAAUGUGUAUGUGCUUCUUAGGUAGGUAACCGGAUGAGCCCAUGUUACAAUAUGUUGAAUUUUGUCUAUAUGGGAAUGCCUUUAGGAUGCCGUCAUGGUGCCAAAACUUAAGGUGGACAGAGAAUGAGAGGAAGGCCCUGACACGCAGAGCAGGAACUGUGAUCUGCUAACCAGGGUCCAGAUGCUGGCCAGGAAAGAAUUUCAUUUCACAGUCUGCAGGGAAAAAAGGGAAAUCUAGAAAUUCCUUAAAUUGAAUAUUGUUCCUACCACACUGUUUCAUUCAGAUUCACUUACUAAAAGCUUCAAAUGUGUUUAGCAUAAUACUCUUAUUAGUACAGGCAAGAUUACAAUAAGUUGUCAUUUCCACCUUCCUGGAUCAAGUGGGAUGAAAUAAUUCUCAGGUCUUUCCUAGGUAUAAAACACCUCUGCAGAGGAAAGAGAAAAUUCACCCAGGGUUUCAGCAUGCUGGAGCAUGUGGAAUGCAAGUCUUGAAGCUUUCCAGCCAUGGCAUUUAAAAAUAAAAAUAUGAAUUGAGACAAUGCCCAAACUUUCUUAUCUCAGACAACAGUCUUCUUCAGAAGACCUACCAGGCUGAGAAAAUAGCUUUCUUUGAAGGAGUAGACUAUUUGUAAUUCCCUGGGAUCUAUCUCUCAUAAUUUUAAGAGGUUUUUUGUAAGUCAUGUUUUUCUCUGUUUUCCCUGUGACUCUUUACACCUCUAUGUCUCCAUUUUCUUGUACAACCUCAGCAAAAAAAUAGAAAAAGAAAGAAAAAAUGUGCUGUGAGCAUUUAGCAAGUUGUUAAAAUGUGCAUUAGAAAAUCACUAAUGGAAUAGAUCCACCCCUGCUUCACUCCCUGAUCUUAGAUAAUUGAAGCUUUAAUCCCAAAGAUGCACCUUCUCCCUGGAAAAGUUCAAUUUGAUCUCAAGAGUAAUUCUUGCUUGAGAGAUUGAGAAUGCUGAAUCCACCAAAGGAUCUGCAAAGUGUGCCUGUUCCCCUCUAGGUAUUGAAAGAAGUGCCCUGAAGAGAAAUUUACUAGGGCCUAAAGAGCAAGAUUUCAGUCGGUAUCACCUGUCGAGAUGUCAAGACCCUGUCUUCUUUGCCCCUCCCCUGUGUGUGUAUGUGUUCAUGGAUACGUUUAUCUAUUGGAUAAUUCUCUGGGGUUUCAUGUUGAGCAAAUGCCUCUCCGGGAAGAAAUUCCUAUGUAUUUAAUACAAAUUGGAAUGAAUCUUUCAUAUAUAACCAAAAACAUAUUUAGAAAACACAGUACUUAAAAUUGUGUAUCACAGGUUUUAUGGCCUAUACAAAGCCUAACAUCCAGAGACAACCUCAACAUCAUUAUUUUGGUUUAGAAAUAUGGAAAGUCAUACUUUAAAUACCUGCUUACCUGAAGACAUGUCAAUAUAUACAGAAUAAAAAUGAGUUAGGACUUUGUAAAUAUUGUUUUAAUAUUAGUCCAUGUUUUGUGAACCCCUUCUAGAAAACCCCUUUCCUUAAAGAAAUAGUCACUCAUUUAAAAUAUUUUGUACCAAAUAGAUUGCCAUAUAAUCAUUGAGCCACCUAAUUUUUUUAGUUUACAAUAAGCCAUAUAUAAUCACUGUCACAUAUUAAAAUAAAACAAACAAUUUGACUAUAAGGAACCAAAAACUUUUCUUAGAAAUUCUACAGUAUAAAUUUUGGAUAGGUUAUUGUAAACUUCAGGCUGUGGGUAGGUUAUCUUUUACUUGGUGGAAGGGAUGUAGAAGAAACAAAUAAAAAUAUUCCUUUUUUUUAAUUCUUCCUUUGAAUUGAGAAGAAACCAUGUUCAGAAGAAAGACAGUUUCUUUCAAAAGAAUUUGUACAGAUAUAUAUAAAAAUAUGUUUACCUUUUCCAGUAGAUGGUCUUGAAUGGUGGAUCCUAGAUUCAAUAAUAGAGCCACUAUGGCUUAUACAUAAAUAUUUUCUAUAAAGAAGUCUAAAGAUAAAAUCAAAGGAGAAAGGUCAACAUGGAAGUUACCAAAAUUUUAAAAAAAUUAUGACCAGGCUGGGCGCGGUGGCUCACGCCUGUAAUCCCAGCACUUUGGGAGGCCGAGGCGGGCGGAUCACGAGGUCAGGAGAUCGAGACCAUCCCGGCUAAAACGGUGAAACCCCGUCUCUACUAAAAAUACAAAAAAUUAGCCGGGCGUAGUGGCGGGCGCCUGUAGUCCCAGCUACUCGGGAGGCUGAGGCAGGAGAAUGGCGUGAACCCGGGAGGCGGAGCUUGCAGUGAGCCGAGAUUGCACCACUGCACUCCAGCCUGGGCGACAGAGCGAGACUCCGUCUCAACAACAACAACAAAAAAAAAUUAUGGCCAAAUCUCUCCAAAUGUAUUGAUAUUCUUCAGACCUAUAAUUAUAGAAAGCAUUACAUACUUAGUUCCAGAAAUUCUCCAUUUCCAUUAUUGCUGGAUAAGCCAUCUAAAAAGCACUUGAAGUUGAUGAUGUAUGUUGUUUACACUCUUGAAAAAACAUCCUCUCCAAAUAGGGGGAAAGGUUAGAAAUGAUUUGUACUGCAUUGAUCAAUUUAUCUGAGUUGUCUUUCAGCAGAUUGUAUUAAUGGAACUUCAUUUUCUUUUAUUCAGUAGACGGCCAAUUUUUUGUUGUCUCUUAAAAAGAUCAAUGAACAUGUCUCGCCAUCUUUUCACAAAACAAGAUGAUUUUUCCCUUAAAGUUUCAAAAAGACUUUAUUAUUUUGUUGUAAUAGAUGUUUGUUCCCCUCUUUCUUGCUUUCAAACCCCUGCAGUGAGUUUUCUAAUGCCUGUCUAUUCUUUCAUAUCUCUUUGUAGUUCCGACUUCAAUACCUUAAAUUUCCCUAUUUUUCCAUCAUUCUGGGUCUACAGAUAUCUUCAGGGGCAGCAGCUUCUCCACUCUUUGGCCUGCAGUGGGUGGAGAGGCUGAUGGUAUUCACCACCGCAAUGAAUAAACACAAUCAAAACGAACAUCCACAACAAGAAUGCACUUUGAUUGGGGCAUUAUGCACCACAUCUUUCAUAGUUCAUAAAAAAUGAAAGCUUGCUGCUUUUUACCAAGGCUAGGUAAAAACCGUUGAUUCUUUUUCUCUGCAAGGACGGUAGGGUGACUAGUGGCCCCCAUAUGUCAUUUCUUAACAUACAGGGUAUGUUUCUAUGAAUGUAAUUGCUUCUUUCUGGCUGGUGGAAUAAUUCAUUUUUAUUAUUUUUUUAUUGCAACGGAAAAUAUGAAAAGCAAGGAGACAGUAAAACUCAAUUUAUCUACUUGUCUCUUUAUUGUGCAUAGCUGAUCUCUGGUUCCUUCUGUCCCUCCUCUGCCCUUCAUUAUCUUCACAACCCCUCUGGGCCUAACACAUGCCCAGACUAUUGACAUCUGUUAGGGGUCGCCACUUCUGGAGAGAAUUGGUGCAUUCAAUAGGAGAUUUUUUAUUGAAUAGCAGUGAAAGCCAUGUGAUAUAUACUAACUUCUCCCAACCACUCACCACAAAAGAAAAGAAAAAAAAAAAAAGACAAACACACAAUGAGCAGCUUCAAUACAUAUAUUAAGCAUAGUAGUAUAGAUAUCUACAUGUUGAGGAUGGUAUUGCACUUCUUCAUUAAACACUCAGAAGCAUUUUUGAAACAUAUUCUGGGGAGAAAAUAAAAGAAAAAUGAAAAUCAGUUUUGGCAUAUUCAUGCAUGCAUUACUUUGCAAAGUCAUGAUGGCAAAACAAUGUUAAAUUUUGAUAGGACCAGUCCUAAAUUAUGGCUUCCUGCGGAAUGGGUUACCCAUGGGUUAGGAGCAAUCACAAAUUACCCUUCACUCCCAGGAUCCCAUAGUAUGUGGAAGAGGAUGAAUGAAGACUGAAACUGUGGUGUUUCAAUGGGAGAAGAAAGGACAGAGGUGUUUCCUUUAUCUUGAGGAUUAUCAUUACUCUCACCUAAGUGGGACAUCCAGGCAUUAGUCCAUAUUCCUCCCUCUUACUUAAUCAGUCACCAAGUCUUACAGAUUAUCU
rnacentral:lncRNA from 1 species